rnacentral:rRNA from 1 species
CCUACGGGGGGCAGCAGUAGGGAAUAUUGCUCAAUGGGGGAAACCCUGAAGCAGCAAAGCCGCGUGGAGGAUGAAGGUCUUCGGAUUGUAAACUCCUUUUGUUAGAGGAGUUAAGGAAGGUAUGUAACGAAUAAGCAACGGCUAACACCGUGCCAGCAGCCGCGGUAAUACGGAGGGUGCCAGCGUUACUCGGAUUCACUGGGCGUAAAGAGCGCGUAGGCGGGAUAGCAAGUCAGAUGUGAAAUCUUAUGGCUUAACCGUAGAACUGCAUUUGAAACUGUUAUUCUGGAGUAUGGGAGAGGUAGGUGGAAUUCUUGGUGUAGCGGUGAAAUGCGUAGAGAUCACGAAGAAUACUGAUUGCGAAGGCAGCCUACUAGAACGUAACUGACGCUGAUGCGCGAAAGCGUGGGUAGCAAACAGGAUUAGAUACCCGUGUAGUC